rnacentral:tRNA from 1 species
GAGGCUGUGGCUCAGUGGUAGAGUGCUCGCCUAGCAUGUGUGAGGUGCUGGGUUUGAUUCUCAGCACCACA